AAUCCAUGGUGGAGGUAUUGAUGCAGUAGCCUUUUGAAUCGGUCCCACACUUCAAACAAAGACUCUCCAUCUUUCUGCGUGAAACUCGUGAUGAGAUGCCUCAAGU